ACCUGGCUGGCUCAGUAGGUAGAGCAUGGGACUCUUGAUCUCAGAGUUGUAAGUUCAAGCCCCAUGUUGGGCA
rfam:Felis catus isolate Cinnamon breed Abyssinian chromosome D2, whole genome shotgun sequence.